rnacentral:other from 1 species
GUAGGCCUGCCCUGUUCGUGAUAGCAAUCUUGUUUUGUGCUAAACAGGAACUAUAGGGUGUUCGAUUGUGUAUGGCGUGAAUGCCUGCAUUGCAGUAGGACUCAUAAAGUACAUAUAGAAUUCCCAUCUUUUUGAAAUAAUAGUUCAAACUCGUUGUUACACGGCAAGGGCAGGUCUCAU